rnacentral:rRNA from 1 species
GAUGAACGCUGGCGGCGUGCCUAAUACAUGCAAGUAGAACGCUGAAGGAAGGAGCUUGCUCUUUCCGGAUGAGUUGCGAACGGGUGAGUAACGCGUAGGUAACCUGCCUGGUAGCGGGGGAUAACUAUUGGAAACGAUAGCUAAUACCGCAUAACAGUAGAUGUUGCAUGAUAUCUACUUAAAAGGUGCAAUUGCACCACUACCAGAUGGACCUGCGUUGUAUUAGCUAGUUGGUGAGGUAACGGCUCACCAAGGCGACGAUACAUAGCCGACCUGAGAGGGUGAUCGGCCACACUGGGACUGGGACACGGCCCAGACUCCUACGGGAGGCCGCAGGAGGGGAUCUUCGGCAAUGGACGGAAGUCUGACCGAGCAACGCCGCGUGGGUGAAGAAGGGUUUCGGAUCGUAAAGCUCUGUUGUAAGAGAAGAACGAGUGUGAGAGUGGAAAGUUCACACUGUGACGGUAGCUUACCAGAAAGGGACGGCUAACUACGUG